rnacentral:rRNA from 1 species
GACGAACGCUGGCGGCGUGCUUAACACAUGCAAGUCGAACGAAGUGGCGAACGGGUGAGUAAUACGUGAGUAACCUGCCCUCCUUUGUGGGAUAAGCCUUGGAAACGGGGUAUACUACCGAAUAAAGGGGGAUGGGCUCGCGGCCUUUCAGCUUGUUGGUGGGGUGAUGGCCUACCAAGGCGGUGACGGGUAGCCGGCCUGAGAGGGUGACCAGCAACAUGGGCACUGGCAGACGGCCCAGUGUACAACAGGAGGAGGGAUUGGUCGUGAUUGCGCAAAGAGCGAAAGCCUGAUGAGGCAGUGCCGCGGGCCGGAUGAAGGCUCUCAUGGUGUAAACCUGUAGCGCUAUCGAACCGGGAGGUAGUGAAGAAGCACCGGCUAACGACGUUCCAGCAGCCGCGGUAAUUC